rnacentral:rRNA from 1 species
GAAGGUGUAUCUAGAAAGACAAAUUAGAGCUUGAAAAAUAAAGCAUUUCAUUUACAUUGAAAAGUAUAUUGUGUAAUUCAAUUUAAUUUGAUAAUAAAAAUUUAUUAAUUUUUUUUUGUUUAAGAAUUUAUUUAAUAAAAUUAAUUUUAAAUUAAGUUUUUUUUUGUAUAGUAUAUAGAUCAAAUAAUUUAUAUAAUAGUUAAUUAGUAUUGUAAAAGAAUAUUGAAAUAUUUGAAAAAAUUUUAAAUUAAAAGUAAAUUUUAUAUAUUGUACCUUGUGUAUCAGGGUUUAUUAAUUAAAAAUUAAAUCUUUAAUUUUUCUCGAAUUUAAGAGAGUUAAUUUAUUAUUUAUUUUUUUGUUUCAUAAAAAUUUAAAAUAAUAAAUUAGAAAUGAAAUGUUAUUCGUUCUUUAAUAUAUCUAGUUUUUUAAGAAAUAAAUUAAAUUUAGAUUAUUAAUAAAUAAUUAUUUAUUUAAAUAAUAAAUUAUUAUUAAUAAUUAAUAUUUUAAGGGAUAAGCUUUAAAAUAAGUUUUAUAAUGAUUUUUUAAUUUAAAAAUUAUAGGUUUAGAAAUAGUCAUUAAUUAUAAAAAUGUUAUAAUUUAUUUUAAGUUAAAAAUAAUUUUUAUUAAUUUAAGUUUUUAUUAAAAUAAUUUUUAAAAUUAUAUAAGAAUUAAAAUAAUGAUAAAAUUAGUAUAUUUAAUUGUUUAAAAUAAUUAAAUUGAAAGGUUAAAUUAAGGAAUUUGGCAAAUAAAUACUCGCCUGUUUAACAAAAACAUGUCUUUUUGAAUAUAAUUUAAAGUCUAAUCUGCCCACUGAAAAAUUUUAAAGGGCCGCGGUAUU